GACGAACGCUGGCGGCGUGCUUAACACAUGCAAGUCGAACGGAAAGGCCUUGCUUUUGUGGGGUGCUCGAGUGGCGAAAGGGGGGGUAACACGUGAGUAACCUGCCCGUGACUUUGGGAUAACUUCAGGAAACUGGGGCUAAUACCGGAUAGGAGCGCCUGCUGCAUGGUGGGGGUUGGAAAGUUUCGGCGGUUGGGGAUGGACUCGGGGCUUAUCAGCUUGUUGGUGGGGUAGUGGCUUACCAAGGCUUUGACGGGUAGGCGGCCUGAGAGGGUGACCGGCCACAUUGGGACUGAGAUAAGGCCCAGACGCCUACGGGAGGCAGCAGUGGGGAAUAGUGCACAAUGGGCGGAAGCCUGAUGCAGCAACGCCGCGUGCGGGAUGACGGCCUUCGGGUUGUAAACCGCUUUCGCCUGUGACGAAGCGUGAGUGACGGUAAUGGGUAAAGAAGCACCGGCUAACUACGUG
rnacentral:rRNA from 1 species